AUUGAACGCUGGCGGCAGGCCUAACACAUGCAAGUCGAGCGAGCGGCGGACGGGUGAGUAAUGUAUGGGGAUCUGCCUGAUAGAGGGGGAUAACUACUGGAAACGGUGGCUAAUACCGCAUACUAUCGGAUGAACCCAUAUGGGAUUAGCUAGUUGGUGGGGUAAAGGCUCACCAAGGCGACGAUCCCUAGCUGGUCUGAGAGGAUGACCAGCCACACUGGAACUGAGACACGGCCCAGACUCCUACGGGAGGCAGCAGUGGGGAAUAUUGAACAAUGGGCGCAAGCCUGAUGCAGCCAUGCCGCGUGUAUGAAGAAGGCCUUAGGGUUGUAAAGUACUUUCAGCGGGGAGGCGUUACCCGCAGAAGAAGCACCGGCUAACUCCGUGCCAGCAGCCGCGGUAAUUC
rnacentral:rRNA from 1 species